AGGGCACCACCAGGAGUGGAGCCUGCGGCUUAAUUUGACUCAACACGGGAAAACUCACCCGGCCCGGACACUGGAAGGAUUGACAGAUUGAGAGCUCUUUCUUGAUUCGGUGGGUGGUGGUGCAUGGCCGUUCUUAGUUGGUGGAGUGAUUUGUCUGGUUAAUUCCGAUAACGAACGAGACUCUAGCCUAUUAAAUAGAUCGUUGGCUUACAAACGCCGGCGAGACUUCUUAGAGGGACAGGCGGCGAUUCAGCCGCACGAAACAGAGCAAUAACAGGUCUGUGAUGCCCUUAGAUGUCCGGGGCCGCACGCGCGCUACACUGAAGUGAUCAGCGUGCAUUUUGAAACCUACUCUGUCAAGAGUGGGGAACCCAAUGAACCUUCUUCGUGAUUGGGAUAGGGGAUUGUAAUUAUUCCCCUUGAACGAGGAAUUCCCAGUAAGCGCGAAUCAUAAGUUUGCGCUGAUUACGUCCCUGCCCUUUGUACACACCGCCCGUCGCUACUACCGAUUGAAUGUUU
rnacentral:rRNA from 1 species